rnacentral:lncRNA from 1 species
AAGAAACAGAGGUCCCUAAUGUUCUCUUCCUUUUGGCACUGAACUCCUUUGUCAUGGUUGACUGGAUGAACUCACAGGGACCUGGAGCAGUUCAGUGACUUAGUGUUAAACCUCUGUUUCUUCUUAAGAGGCACAACCAGAGGCUACUGAUACCUUGACCUUUUGUUUCUUGGAGUACCCAGUGGAAAUAAUGGACUAAUAAGAUCCAGGAAGAGUCAGCUGAUGGUCCCACCCAACUGCUGUUGUCAGUCUAUGAAGCCAAGAGAAGUGAUGGUGACGAGAGGUUACUGCCAGCUCCCUGAGGGAUGGUGCUGGCAUUGUGGAUGGACACCGGUUUGUAAGGCACUGCCUGUACAGGUCUCCUCUGAUUUGUCUGCAUUAGUUUCUACUGGAUGUAUCCCUCAUGAGACUGUGCUGACUGAACAAUGCUUGCACUAUUGAAAGUAAUAUCCUGACAAUCCAGUCAUAUCUUAUUACAAGCAGAUUCCAGAGCAAUGUGUACUUGCAAAAAUUUAAUUGCAUACUUGUAUUAAAACACAGUUGUAUUUGCACUGUAAUAUAAAAGAAAUGAAGAAUGCAUGUGGUUGGUAUCUUAUUAUUUAAAAUGAGUAUGGUAAUAUAGUCAUUAAUAUAUUUUUAUGCAUCACUCACUGUAGAAAUUUAAAUUAGUAGUUUACUAUGAUGAGUUUUAAGGCAAUAUUUCUUAUUAAAAAUGGAGCAUCUGAAAGUUUUAGGUUCACAAAGGGUUUAUAAUUAAGCCAUGAAAAUUAAUUUAGCCAUGUAAAACGG